UACGUAGGGGGCUAGCGUUGUCCGGAUUUAUUGGGCGUAAAGAGCGUGUAGGCGGCUUGGUAGGUCUCGCGUCAAAACCUGAGGCUCAACCUCAGUUCGCGUGGGAAACCACCUAGCUAGAGUCCGGAAGAGGAGGACGGAAUUCCCAGUGUAGCGGUGAAAUGCGCAGAUAUUGGGAAGAACACCAGUGGCGAAGGCGGUUCUCUGGGACGGUACUGACGCUGAGACGCGAAAGCGUGGGGAGCGAACAGG
rnacentral:rRNA from 1 species